AGUAAAAUCAGCUAAAUAAGCUAUUGGGCUCAUACCCUAAAAAUGUUGGAUAAACCCCUUCUUUUACUA
rnacentral:tRNA from 1 species